AUUGAACGCUGGCGGCAUGCUUUACACAUGCAAGUCGAACGGUAACAGGCCUUCGGGUGCUGACGAGUGGCGAACGGGUGAGUAAUGCAUCGGAACGUGCCCAGAGGUGGGGGAUAACGCAGCGAAAGCUGUGCUAAUACUGCAUGUGAUCUGAGGAUGAAAGCGGGGGACCAGGCAGCAAUGUUUGGCCUCGCGCCUUUGGAGCGGCCGAUGUCAGAUUAGGUAGUUGGUGGGGUAAAGGCCUACCAAGCCGACGAUCUGUAGCUGGUCUGAGAGGACGACCAGCCACACUGGGACUGAGACACGGCCCAGACUCCUACGGGAGGCAGCAGUGGGGAAUUUUGGACAAUGGGCGCAAGCCUGAUCCAGCAAUGCCGCGUGCGGGAAGAAGGCCUUCGGGUUGUAAACCGCUUUUGUACGGAACGAAAAGGCUCUGGCUAAUACCUGGGGCUGAUGACGGUACCGUAAGAAUAAGCACCGGCUAACUACGUG
rnacentral:rRNA from 1 species